rnacentral:rRNA from 1 species
UACGUAGGGAGCAAGCGUUGUCCGGAAUCAUUGGGCGUAAAGCGCGCGUAGGCAGCCCGAUAAGUCCGCUGUAAAAGUCACCGGCUCAACUGUUGAAAGCCGGUGGAUACUGUCGGGCUAGAGUACGGAAGAGGCAAGUGGAAUUCCUGGUGUAGCGGUGGAAUGCGCAGAUAUCAGGAGGAACACCCAUAGCGAAGGCAGCUUGCUGGGACGUUACUGACGCUAAGGCGCGAAAGCGUGGGGAGCGAACAGG